rnacentral:misc_RNA from 1 species
CUCGGAUGAUGACGACAUCGUUACACUACUUGCGGCAGGCCAGGCGGGGCUCGAUCGCGACACUGACACGAGGGCUCUGUUGAAGGCGGUCGACGAUCGUCGGCGUGAUCUAAAGUCUCGCGAAACGAUACGGAACGACGCGUUGGAGGCUGAACGAGCAUGGAACAGGGCCUGGCACGAUGCUUGCGCCGCAUGCUGGCUCGGCGAAAGCGGAAGAUCGCCUACGAUCACUACCGUAAGAGAAACAUUGGAUGCUGUGGCGGGA